rnacentral:rRNA from 1 species
GUGGGGAAUAUUGGACAAUGGGCGAAAGCCUGAUCCAGCAAUGCCGCGUGAGUGAUGAAGGCCUUAGGGUUGUAAAGCUCUUUUACCCGGGAAGAUAAUGACUGUACCGGGAGAAUAAGCCCCGGCUAACUCCGUGCCAGCAGCCGCGGUAAUACGGAGGGGGCUAGCGUUGUUCGGAAUUACUGGGCGUAAAGCGCACGUAGGCGGUUUUGUAAGUUAGAGGUGAAAGCCUGGGGCUCAACCCCAGAAUUGCCUUUAAGACUGCAUCACUUGAACGUCGGAGAGGUGAGUGGAAUUCCGAGUGUAGAGGUGAAAUUCGUAGAUAUUCGGAAGAACACCAGUGGCGAAGGCGGCUCACUGGACGACUGUUGACGCUGAGGUGCGAAAGCGUGGGGAGCAAACAGGAUUAGAAACCCGGGUAGUCC